rnacentral:rRNA from 1 species
UACGGAAGGUCCGGGCGUUAUCCGGAUUUAUUGGGUUUAAAGGGAGCGCAGGCCGGCUGUUAAGCGUGACGUGAAAUGCCGCGGCUCAACCGUGGAAGUGCGUCGCGAACUGGCGGCCUUGAGUGGGGUCGACGCAUGCGGAAUUCGUGGUGUAGCGGUGAAAUGCUUAGAUAUCACGAAGAACCCCGAUUGCGAAGGCAGCGUGCGAGUCCCUUACUGACGCUAAAGCUCGAAGGUGCGGGUAU